GAUGAAGAACGUAGCGAAAUGCGAUAAGUAAUGUGAAUUGCAGAAUUCAGUGAAUCAUCGAAUCUUUGAACGCACAUUGCGCCCGCCAGUAUUCUGGCGGGCAUGCCUGUUCGAGCGUCAUUUCAACCCUCAGGGCCCUUUUGGACCUGGCGUUGGGGCUCGGCCGCUACCCUGCGGCCGUCCCCGAAAGAUAGUGGCGGUCUCGCUGUAGCCUCCUCUGCGUAGUAGUUACAUCUCGCACUGGAACGCGGCGCGGCCAUGCCGUUAAACACCCCACUUCUCAAGGUUGACCUCGGAUCAGGUAGGAAUACCCGCUGAACUUAAGCAUAUCAUAAGCGGAGGA
rnacentral:misc_RNA from 1 species